rnacentral:tRNA from 1 species
AAAUAAGAAGCAAUUUUGCAAUUAAUUUCGACUUAACUAUUGAUAAUAAAUAUUAUCCUUAUUUA